AAAAAUUUCCAAAUUCAUAUGAAAUCCUUAUAGAAGUCGAUCUGGUAGAGUGUUUUAAGGCGGGCGGAUGCGCUUGCUAAGUACAUGAGUUUUCGCAGCGAAAGAUCUAAUCUCUCAGAGACGUUAUGAUUACUUGGCUCCUGUGACAUAUAUUUGUGAAAUUGUUGUUAAUGAACCCACAUGCGUGAAAAGAAGAAAAAAACGGGAGAAGAGGGAGUACAAGAGGAAGGAGAGGGAUAAGAUUUAAGCAUUCAUACCUGGGCGGGGUCGAUCGGUGAUCACGAAGACCGAUGGCCUAGAGAGAGCACCUUCAUUGCACUAACAGAAGGGGGUUCUGUCUAACAUCUCCCAUUGUGGAGAAUGGACGUCAUAAUUUGUGACAGAGGGGGCUCGCGUUCGCGCGGCCCCCCACAUAAUACCAUUCAUAAGAAAUAUCUACUUUUGUGACUAUUUACAGGGCAUUUUAUUCUGUAGCAGAAAUAUAAUUGAUGGGCCUGAAGCAAUCUCUCUUUAUCAUGAAA